CCUUUCGGGGGUACUCGAGCGGCGAACGGGUGAGUAACACGUGAGUAAUCUGCCCUGGACUCUGGGAUAGCCACCGGAAACGGUGAUUAAUACCGGAUAUGACCACUCUAGGCAUCUAGUGGUGGUGGAAAGUUUUUCGGUCCAGGAUGUGCUCGCGGCCUAUCAGCUUGUUGGUGAGGUAAUGGCUCACCAAGGCUUUGACGGGUAGCCGGCCUGAGAGGGUGACCGGUCACACUGGGACUGAGACACGGCCCAGACUCCUACGGGAGGCAGCAGUGGGGAAUAUUGGACAAUGGGCGGAAGCCUGAUCCAGCAACGCCGCGUGAGGGAUGACGGCCUUCGGGUUGUAAACCUCUUUCAGUACCGACGAAGCGAAAGUGACGGGAGGUACAGAAGAAGGACCGGCCAACUACGUGCCAGCAGCCGCGGUAAUACGUAGGGUCCGAGCGUUGUCCGGAAUUAUUGGGCGUAAAGGGCUCGUAGGCGGUUUGUCGCGUCGGGAGUGAAAACAGCGGGCUUAACUCGUUGCUUGCUUUCGAUACGGGCAGACUAGAGGUAUGCAGGGGAGAAUGGAAUUCCUGGUGUAGCGGUGAAAUGCGCAGAUAUCAGGAGGAACACCGGUGGCGAAGGCGGUUCUCUGGGCAUUACCUGACGCUGAGGAGCGAAAGUGUGGGGAGCGAACA
rnacentral:rRNA from 1 species